rnacentral:rRNA from 1 species
GAUUGCAAUGAGCCGAAUUUACACCCCUUAGCGAGGAUCGAUUGGAGGGCAAGUCUGGUGCCAGCAGCCGCGGUAAUUCCAGCUCCAAUAGCGUAUAUUAAAGUUGUUGCAGUUAAAAAGCUCGUAGUUGGAUUUCUGGGAGGGUGCCAAUGUCCGCCGACGUGCGUGCGCAGCGGCGCCCUUCCAUCCUUCUGUUAACGCCUCUUGGCAUUCAUUUGCUGGUGGCGGGCUCAGAUAUUUUACCUUGAGAAAAUUAGAGUGUUUCAGGCAGGCUUGUGCCCGGAUACAUUAGCAUGGAAUAAUGGAAAAGGACUUCAACCUCUUCUGUUGGUCUGAGAGGCUGUAGUAAUGAUUAAUAGGGAUAGUUGGGGGCAUUAGUACUUGACUGUCAGAGGUGAAAUUCUCCGAUUUGUUAAAGACUAACUUAUGCGAAAGCAUUUGCCAAGGAUGUUUUCAUUAAUCAAGAACGAAAGUUAGGGGAUCAAAGACGAUCAGAUACCGUCCUAGUCUUAACCAUAAACUAUGCCGAC